AGAGAGAGACAUGCGCGCAUAUCAAUAAGCGGAGGAAAAGAAACUAACAAGGAUUCCCUUAGUAACGGCGAGUGAAGCGGGAAGAGCUCAAAUUUGAAAUCUUCAAGGUUUUACCUUGACGAAUUGUAGUUUAAAGAAGUGUUUUCUGCUGAAGUUUUGGUAAAAGUUCUUUGGAAUAGGACAUCAUAGAGGGUGAGAAUCCCGUAUUUGACCAUUAUUUUCAGCUUUGUGAUACACUUUCAAAGAGUCGGAUUGUUUGGGAAUGCAGUCCAAAAUGGGUGGUAAAUUUCAUCUAAAGCUAAAUAUUGGCGAGAGACCGAUAGCGAACAAGUACCGUGAGGGAAAGAUGAAAAGAACUUUGAAAAGAGAGUUAAACAGUACGUGAAAUUGUCAAAAGGGAAGCGUUUGACACCAGUGUUGUUUUCUCGAAAAUCAAUUAAAAAUGGCUCGAUUUUGUAUUGUUGAGACCUUAAAAGCUCACUGUACAUUUUUCGUGUCUUUUUUAAUGCACUUUUCGUUUAACAAGUCAACAUCAGUUUCUUUUGUUGUAAAAGGGUCAUUGGAAGGUGGCUUUCUUUUCGGAGAAAGUAGUUUAUAGCCUUUGGCCUCUGCAAUCGAAGAGACUGAGGUCUGCAGCGUAGACUCUUCGGGGUUAGAUACAUUUGUGCUAAGUUAUAGCUUUUUAUAGACAACUUGUUGACUAUAAUUAGUCUUGUAGCUUACUCGCUUAUGCUAUUUUACCUACGCUUAGGAUGUUGAAGAUGUAGCACAUCAU
rnacentral:rRNA from 1 species